UACAGAGGGGGCAAGCGUUAUUCGGAAUUAUUGGGCGUAAAGGGCGCGUAGGCGGCCUUGCAAGUGACGGGUGAAAUCCCUCGGCUUAACCGAGGAACUGCCUGUCAGACUGCAUGGCUUGAGACCGGGAGAGGUGAGUGGAAUUCCCAGUGUAGCGGUGAAAUGCGUAGAUAUUGGGAGGAACACCAGUGGCGAAGGCGGCUCACUGGACCGGUACUGACGCUGAGACGCGAAAGCGUGGGGAGCGAACAGG
rnacentral:rRNA from 1 species